rnacentral:lncRNA from 1 species
AUGAAUGCACAAAUAUGGGAAAACACCAAAUUCCUUUGUUUGUACUCUUUGGAUGAAUUCAUCUUUAUUAUUACAUAACAAUAAAAUCGACUUGAAAAAAUUUAAUUCCAUUCAAAAUAACAUCAAAGAAUAAAAUAACACUUGAGAGCAAAUGCACUAAAAGGUUUAAACUUGUACUCAAUUGGUACAGACUUUCUGUUGAAGGUGAGGAAAAGUAUUUACUAAUGACUUGUGAUUGUAGCAAAAAAAAAAAGUGAACAUAAUUAGUGCCCCUCAAUUGGACACCUGAUAUUGAUUAAAGUGGAAAGUCUGUGUUGCAUUUAUGUAUAUCUAUGUAAUUGUAGCCAAAAAUAUUGCAAAUGUGAUUAAUACCCUGGAUUAUACAUGUGAAAUUAACAUGAAAUGACUGUUACAUUAAUACAUAUAUAUGUGUGUAUAUGUGUAUGUAUACACACACACAAACACAAUUAAAAGAGCCUCGCGACCUGAAGGCAAUAUCAAAAUUACCCACAUUUAUUUAUUUUGAUUUUAAGAAAGAGAGGAGAAUGAGAAUGAGUGCAGAAAAGUAUAUCUAAUCACCCCAAUUUGGUGGAAAAACUAGACAUUUGCCACGCGUACCCUUAGUUGCUGGGCAGAGCCUGGUGAAGAAUGUUCGGGGAAGGAGAGGGUCCACGGUCAGGCCACCGCCCCACUACCCUCCACGCGGGGGGCCCUCGGGGGCCUCCCCCAGCGCACCCCCGUCUCACCUCGCAGGCUUCUCUUCAGAACGUGGAAGCAGCCGUUCCCCAGCCAGCGGGCUGAGCAGAGCACCCGUCUCCAGGGGACGCACGAGGACGCGGCCUGGCUGGUGGCUGCGUGGUCCUGCAUUAAGGGCCGCAUGCGUGUGUCUGCGGGACCCCGGCGAGGAGCGCAGGGCGCGGGCUGAGGCCGCCGCGGGCUGCCACGCCGCGUGGGGAACUUGGGGACACGCUGCGGCCCUCGAUAGCCGCCCCUGCCGCGUGAGGAGGGAGCGCAGGCAGGACCCCGGCGCCCCUGACGAGCCCCGCCCGCCUCUCCCGGCCUCGGGGCGUCGCUUCCGCCUCCCGCCCUGGCCGCGCGGGGACCUCGUGGGAGCAAAGGAAGCUCCCAGCGAUAAUUUGAAAUUUCCCUCUGACCAUCCCUUGGCAGCCAUGACCAGUUGA